rfam:Tilletia walkeri strain DAOM 236422 scaffold_85, whole genome shotgun sequence.
GACUGGUUAGCUCAGUUGGUUAGAGUGUGGAGCUAAUAAUUCAUGACACUCCAAGGUCGUGGGUUCGACCCCCACACUGGUCA